rnacentral:rRNA from 1 species
CCUACGGGAGGCAGCAGUGGGGAAUAUUGCACAAUGGGGGAAACCCUGAUGCAGCGACGCCGCGUGGGUGACGAAGUAUUUCGGUAUGUAAAGCCCUAUCAGCAGGGCAGAAGAUGACAGUACCUGACCAAGAAGCCCCGGCUAACUACGUGCCAGCAGCCGCGGUAAUACGUAGGGGGCAAGCGUUAUCCGGAUUUACUGGGUGUAAAGGGAGCGUAGGUGGCAUGGCAAGCCAGAAGUGAAAACCCGGGGCUUAACCCCGCGGAUUGCUUUUGGAACUGUCAGGCUGGAGUGCAGGAGGGGCAGGCGGAAUUCCUGGUGUAGCGGUGAAAUGCGUAGAUAUCAGGAGGAACACCGGUGGCGAAGGCGGCCUGCUGGACUGUAACUGACACUGAGGCUCGAAAGCGUGGGGAGCAAACAGGAUUAGAUACCCCAGUAGUC